UAACACGUGGGCAAUCUGCCCCUAACUCUGGGAUAACUACUCGAAAGAGUAGCUAAUACCGGAUACGAAAUCUGAGGACAUCCUCGGAUUUGGAAAGUUUUUCGGUUAGGGAUGAGCCCGCGGCCUAUCAGCUAGUUGGCGGGGUAAUGGCCCACCAAGGCAACGACGGGUAUCCGGCCUGAGAGGGCGACCGGACACACUGGGACUGAGACACGGCCCAGACUCC
rnacentral:rRNA from 1 species